GCAGGCAAAAGCUCAAAUUUGAAAUCUGGUACCUUCGGUGCCCGAGUUGUAAUUUGGAGAGGGCAACUUUGGGGCCGUUCCUUGUCUAUGUUCCUUGGAACAGGACGUCAUAGAGGGUGAGAAUCCCGUGUGGCGAGGAGUGCGGUUCUUUGUAAAGUGCCUUCGAAGAGUCGAGUUGUUUGGGAAUGCAGCUCUAAGUGGGUGGUAAAUUCCAUCUAAAGCUAAAUAUUGGCGAGAGACCGAUAGCGAACAAGUACAGUGAUGGAAAGAUGAAAAGAACUUUGAAAAGAGAGUGAAAAAGUACGUGAAAUUGUUGAAAGGGAAGGGCAUUUGAUCAGACAUGGUGUUUUGUGCCCUCUGCUCCUUGUGGGUAGGGGAAUCUCGCAUUUCACUGGGCCAGCAUCAGUUUUGGUGGCAGGAUAAAUCCAUAGGAAUGUAGCUUGCCUCGGUAAGUAUUAUAGCCUGUGGGAAUACUGCCAGCUGGGACUGAGGACUGCGACGUAAGUCAAGGAUGCUGGCAUAAUGGUUAUAUGCCGCCCGUCUUGAA
rnacentral:rRNA from 1 species